CCGUAACUAUAACGGUCCUAAGGUAGCGAAAUUCCUUGUCGGGUAAGUUCCGACCCGCACGAAAGGCGUAAUGAUUUGAGCGCUGUCUCGACAAUGCACCCGGUGAAAUUGAAAUACCAGUGAAGAUGCUGGUUACCUGCGCCAGGACGGAAAGACCCCAUGGAGCUUUACUCCAGCUUGAUACUGGGAUUCGGUAAUGCAUGCACAGGAUAGGUGGGAGGCUACGAGUACGGAACUCCGGUUUCGUAUGAGCCGCUGUUGGGAUACCACCCUUGCGUUACUGGGUUUCUAACCAUGGUCCAUGAUCUGGAUCGGGGACAAUGUCAGGUGGGGAGUUUGACUGGGGCGGUCGCCUCCGAAAGGGUAUCGGAGGCGCUCAAAGGUUCCCUCAGAAUGGUUGGAAACCAUUCGAAGAGUGCAAAGGCAGAAGGGAGCUUGACUGCGACACCGACGGGUGGAGCAGGUACGAAAGUAGGACUUAGUGAUCCGGUGGUAUAAAGUGGGAUUGCCAUCGCUCAACGGAUAAAAGCUACCCUGGGGAUAACAGGCUUAUCACUCCCAAGAGUUCACAUCGACGGAGUGGUUUGGCACCUCGAUGUCGGCUCAUCGCAUCCUGGGGCUGUAGUAGGUCCCAAGGGUUGGGCUGUUCGCCCAUUAAAGCGGUACGCGAGCUGGGUUCAGAACGUCGUGAGACAGUUCGGUCCCUAUCCGGCGUGGGCGUAGGAUAUCUGAGAGGAGCUGUCCUUAGUACGAGAGGACCGGGAUGGACGGACCGCUGGUGUACCGGUUGAGCUGCUAAGCUCAUGGCCGGGUAGCCAAGUCUGGCAGGGAUAAACGCUGAAGGCAUCUAAGCGUGAAGCCCCCCUCAAGAUGAGAUAUCCCAUUCGAAAGAAGUAAGACCCCUUGAAGACGACGAGGUAGAUAGGGCAGAGGUGGAAGUGCAGUAAUGUACGGAGCUGACUGUUACUAAUCGGUCGAGGGCUUAUCCAG
rnacentral:rRNA from 1 species